GACACGCUGGCGGCGUGCCUAACACAUGCAAGUCGAACGGAGAGGACAUGAAGUAUUUCGGUACGGAAUGCUCUCUUAGUGGCGAACGGGUGAGUAACACGUGGGCAACCUGCCCCAGACUGGGGGAUAACAUUGUGAAAACAGUGCUAAUACCGCAUGACAGGGUUCCGGGCAUCCGGGACCCUUGAAAGGAGAAAUCCGGUCAGGGAUGGGCCCGCGUCCAAUUAGCUAGUUGGCGGGGUAACGGCCCACCAAGGCGACGAUUGGUAGCCGAACUGAGAGGUUGAUCGGCCACAUUGGGACUGAGACACGGCCCAGACUCCUACGGGAGGCAGCAGUGGGGAAUAUUGGGCAAUGGGCGAAAGCCUGACCCAGCGACGCCGCGUGAAGGAUGAAGGUCUUCGGAUUGUAAACUUCUUUGAUCAGGGAAGAAAGAAAUGACGGUACCUGAAAAACAAGCCACGGCUAACUACGUG
rnacentral:rRNA from 1 species